rnacentral:rRNA from 1 species
UACGAAGGGGGCUAGCGUUGUUCGGAAUCACUGGGCGUAAAGGGCGCGUAGGCGGCCGAUCAAGUCGGGGGUGAAAGCCUGUGGCUCAACCACAGAAUUGCCUUCGAUACUGUUUGGCUUGAGACCGGAAGAGGUUAGUGGAACUGCGAGUGUAGAGGUGAAAUUCGUAGAUAUUCGCAAGAACACCAGUGGCGAAGGCGGCUGACUGGUCCGGUUCUGACACUGAGGCGCGAAGGCGUGGGGAGCGAACGGG